GAUGAACGCUGGCGGCGUGCCUAAUACAUGCAAGUCGAGCGAACGGACGAGAAGCUUGCUUCUCUGAUGUUAGCGGCGGACGGGUGAGUAACACGUGGAUAACCUACCUAUAAGACUGGGAUAACUUCGGGAAACCGGAGCUAAUACCGGAUAAUAUUUUGAACCGCAUGGUUCAAAAGUGAAAGACGGUCUUGCUGUCACUUAUAGAUGGAUCCGCGCUGCAUUAGCUAGUUGGUAAGGUAACGGCUUACCAAGGCAACGAUGCAUAGCCGACCUGAGAGGGUGAUCGGCCACACGGGAACUGAUACACGGUCCAGACUCCUACGGGAGGCAGCAGUAGGGAAUUUUCCGCAAUGGGCGAAAGCCUGACGGAGCAACGCCGCGUGAGUGAUGAUGGUCUUCGGAUCGUAAAACUCUGUUAUUAGGGAAGAACAUAUGUGUAAGUAACUGUGCACAUCUUGACGGUACCUAAUCAGAAAGCCACGGCUAACUACGUG
rnacentral:rRNA from 1 species